rnacentral:lncRNA from 1 species
UCCUAAGUCGGGGAUGGCUCCGAUUACCAACUUGUAACACCCACAAUGCAGCUAUAUCUCCCACGUGUCGUAGCACGACUUAGAGGCAUAGCUGCAUUGUAGUUUUGUCGCAAGAGGGUUAAUCUUCACACAAUCCCAUGUACUGAAUAAGAAAGGGAUAAAGAGUUGGCUUACAAUUGCCACUUCACAAAAAUACAAGUUAAACAUACAUCAUCCAGAGUACAAUCAAGGUCCGACUACAGAACCAAAAUAAGAGAAGACAACCCCAAUUGCUAGAUCUCCGAUCGUCCCAACUGGGCUCCACUACUGAUCAUCUAAAAAAGAUACAAAACAACGACCAAGAUCUUCAUCGAGCUCCCACUUGAGCUCGGUUGCGCCACCUGCACUGUUAUCAUCGUCACCUGCAACUAUUUGGAAGUAUCUGUGAGUCAUGAGGAUUCAGCAAUCUCACACCCGCAAGGUCAAGACUAUUUAAGCUUAUGGGUAGGAUAGUGUGAUGAGGUGGAGCUGCAGCAAGCGCUAAGCAAAUAUGGUGGCUAACAUACGCAAAUGAGAGCGAGAAGAGAAGCAACGCAACAAUCGUGAAGGUAGAAACGAUCAAGAAGUGAUCUUGAAACUACUUACGCACAACCAUAACACAAGAACCGUGUUCACUUCCCAGACUCCGCCAGAAAGAGACCAUCACGGCUACACACGCGAUUGAUGCAUUUUAAUUAACUCAAGUGUCAAGUUCUCUACAGCCAGACAAAUUCCCAUCUGCCACAUAACCGUGGGCACGGCUUUCAAAAGUUUAUACCCUGAAGGGGUGUCCCAACUUAGCCCAUCACAAGCUCUCACGGUCAACGAAGGAUAUUCCUUCUCCCGGGAAGACCCGAUCAGUAUCACAAUCUCAAUUAUAAGACAUUUCGACAAUGGUAAAACAAUACGAUCAAAGCCGCCCGAAUGUGCCAACAAAUCCCGAUAGGAGCUGCACAUAUCUCGUUCUCAGGGCACACCGGAUGAGCAAUCCGUACAACUAAAACCGGCCCUCAAGUUUCCCCGAGGUGGCACUACAAGGGGCUCUAGUUCGGACCAACACUUAGAGAAGCACUGGCCUAGGGGGGUUAAAAUAAAGAUGACCCUCGGGUUGGCUGACCCAAGGGAAAGGUGUAGGUUGUUAGGCAAAUGUAAAACCAAGGUUGGGCCUUGCUAGAGGAGUUUUAUUCAAGGCGAACUGUCAAGGGGUUCCCAUAACACCCAACCGCGUAAGGAACGCAAAAUCAAGGAACAUAAUACCGGUAUGUCAGAAAACUAGGGCGGCAAGAGUGGAACAAAACCCCAGGCAUAAGGCUGAGCCUUCCACCCUUUACCAAGUAUAUAGAUGCAUUAAUUAAAAUAAGAGAUAUUGUGAUAUCCCAACAUAUCCAUGUUCCAACAUGGAACAAACUUCAGCUUCACUUGCAACUAACAACGCUAUAAGAGGGGCUGAGCAAAAGCGGUAACUUAGCCAAACAACGGUUUGCUAGGAAGGUGGGUUAGAGGCUUGACAUGGCAAUAUGGGGGGCAUGAUAUAACAAGUGGUACGUAGCGCGACAUGGCGAUAGAAUAAACAACUAGCAAGCAAAGAUAGAAGUGAUUUUGAAGGUAUGGCCAUCUUGCCUGAGAUCCCGCAAGGAAGAAGAAUGAGUCCAUGAAGAAGGCAAAUGGACGUAGUCGAACGGAUCCUCACAACACUGGAGCGAAAACAAAUCUAACAAGAGAAGCAACCCGGAAAGAAGCAAGAAACAUAGUAAACAACCAUCACAUAAGCAUGGCAUGAUGUGCAAACAAGUAUGAUGUAUGUCCGGUCUAAAGAGGCAUGACAUGGCAAAGUGCACAAACAAUACUAUAAAUUAAGUGGAGCUCAAUAUGCAACGAGAAGCAUAUUGACGAAACACCAUAUGACUUGUUUAGUUCUCUCUCGGUUAUGUUCCCAACAUGAAAUGUUGUUAAACAUGGCAAGAGGGUGAAGCAUAAUAAAACUACUUAUCUAGGCAAGUUUAAAUGAGGCCGGAAAUAACAAACAACAAGUCCGAAAAAAUCCUCAUGGGCAUGUUUUAGGUUUGGUACUGUUCUGCCCUAAACCAUAUUUUAGAGUUGUUAAACAUGCAAAGUAAUUCCACCAUAUUAAACUAGACAUUUUUCUACCACAUUUACAUAUAAAGUUUAUUUAAAACCGAGCUAUGGUUAAAUAGUUAUGAAAUAAAGUAUUUUAACAUGGCAUAUAAGCAAAUUUAACAAACAACAAGUUUAAGCAUUUUAAACAUGCAUGAAAGUUGGAAAUUAUUAAUCUACACAAAAAUCUAAGUACUUUACAUAUGAUGCACGGUUAAUUAGUAAUUAGAUGCAUGAAGUCUAGGGACUUUUCUGUAAAACACUAGUAAAACACUGGAUAAUUCGCUAAACAUCCAGAACGGAAAAAAACUACGCGGGUCGAAACUGGUGUACUGCUGGGCGCUGGAUCUGAGGGGUGCUCACCAUGGGCCCUCAGGCCAGCUGGUGGAGAGGCUUGGCCGCAACGUCUUACUGAG